UACGGAGGGGGCUAGCGUUGUUCGGAAUUACUGGGCGUAAAGCGCACGUAGGCGGCUUUGUAAGUUAGAGGUGAAAGCCCAGGGCUUAACCCUGGAAAUUGCCUUUAAGACUGCAUCGCUAGAAUUGUGGAGAGGUAAGUGGAAUUCCGAGUGUAGAGGUGAAAUUCGUAGAUAUUCGGAAGAACACCAGUGGCGAAGGCGACUUACUGGACACAUAUUGACGCUGAGGUG
rnacentral:rRNA from 1 species